rnacentral:rRNA from 1 species
GACGUAGGGCGCGAGCGUUGUCCGGAUUUAUUGGGCGUAAAGAGCUCGUAGGCGGCUUGUCGCGUCGUCCGUGAAAACCCACAGCUCAACUGUGGGCUUGCGGUCGAUACGGGCAGGCUGGAGUUCGGUAGGGGAGACUGGAAUUCCUGGUGUAGCGGUGAAAUGCGCAGAUAUCAGGAGGAACACCGGUGGCGAAGGCAGCUCUCUGGGACGGUACUGACGCUGAGACGCGAAAAGCGUGGGGAGCGAACAGG